UGAAAACAGACGUGGACUCGAAGAUGACUGAAAACUUCCUUUUGGGUUCUUGGUAAGUUGUAAGAAGUCUGGUGUUUCGGUGUGCAGCUGAUGUUUAAAAAUGAUUUAAGAUUAGUCUUGUAGUGAUAACUAAUAAGUAUAGCCAGUGUGUUGGCUGGACCUGUGUUGACCCUAAUACGAUGGAGCUUGUCCUGCCUUUUAUAGUCCUCUGAAAGUAUCCGUUGCAUAUGUCUGAAUCUGAUCAUCAUAUCUCAACGGUUUCUGGCAGAUAUAUGUGAAACUCAUACAGGUGUUCAUUUUUUUUUUUUUUAAUUUGAUUUGAUGCUUAUGUUUUAAGGUGUCUAAUCUCAGUUCUGUUAUCUGAUAUAUGAUGGAUUGACUUUGGUUUCGGGGUCGAAGUCGUUUAGCCAAUAGCAGUGAAAGUCUUGUUCAUGAAAAAGUACUUUGUGUUUUCAUGUAUGUUUCUGCUAGGCUAUUUAAAGCAAUAUUCUUCCAUGCCAAAUUUUCAACUCAGACUCUGAACUCCAAUGUGUUCUGCAGUGGAUUCUAGUAUAUAUGGAAUCUGUUUAUGACAUAGACCUUUUCUGAAGAUUUUCAGGUUUUGAAGGUUUCUGUCAGAGAAUAGAACUCUGCUUGACAGAAGAAAGCUAUCAAAUUUGUUAGCAUACAGAGCAGGAGAAGCAAAUAUGGGGAUCAAACAGUCAAGGGCUCAGAGCUAUCACCAUAAUACCCCAUAUCAAUAUCCCCCUCCCCCUCCAUCAAUUCCUAGUUCUUCACCCUACCAUGCAUAUUC
rnacentral:lncRNA from 1 species